AUACAUAGUAUGUAAUUGUAUACUUUGAAUUUCUCUUUCUCUAUCUUUAGCCAUAUAUAUUAUUUUAUCUUUAGCCAUGUUGAAUUUUUUGACAAAAGGGUGGUCCGUGAUUUUGGUGUGUUUGAUGCAUGGCCUAACUUCAAACCCUUGAAUUUGUAAGAUCAUUCCUUCUUGGAAAAUACUAUUGUAUUUUUCAACAAGUGAUGAAGGAAUGAAGCAACGAAUUAAGGAAUUCUGUUUAGAAAGAUGAGAAGAUAAAUAUAUGAUGAGUAUGAUAUGAGAUAUAUGCUAGUCAUUGGACAAUUAUACCUUUUCAUCAAGCAGGAGGAGUGAGUUUCCAAGGAAUACAUCACGGUCGUUGGCGGUACGUAUUUCAGUAUGAACUUCCCACAUUCUAACAAUAUGGCCAAUAACAUGUUGGACGUAAGUUCCAAGUUGCAAAUCGUUAAAUGCAACAUAAGUAGCUAAAUUUAGAUUAGAGAGAUUUAUGAGAGACAUUGUGAUUUUAAGUGAUAUGAAGGUAAAUU
rnacentral:sRNA from 1 species